rnacentral:rRNA from 1 species
UACGUAGGUGGCAAGCGUUGUCCGGAUUUACUGGGCGUAAAGGGCGUGCAGGCGGUUUGUUAAGUGCAGGGUGAAAGCUCCCGGCUCAACUGGGAGAGGUCCUUGCAUACUGGCGAACUCGAGGGAGGCAGAGGAAAGUGGAAUUCCCGGUGUAGUGGUGAUAUGCGUAGAUAUCGGGAGGAACACCGGUGGUGUAGACGGCUUUCUGGACCGUAACUGACGCUGAAACACGAAAGCGUGGGUAGCAAACAGG